rnacentral:rRNA from 2 species
GGGAUAGAUGAUUGGGGUGAAGUCGUAACAAGGUAGCCGUAUCGGAAGGUGCGGCUGGAUCACCUCCUUU